AUUGAACGCUGGCGGCAUGCCUUACACAUGCAAGUCGAACGGCAGCACGGGUGCUCGCACCUGGUGGCGAGUGGCAAACGGGUGAGUAAUACAUCGGAACGUACCUUAUCGUGGGGGAUAACGCAGCGAAAGCUGUGCUAAUACCGCAUACGCCCUGAGGGGGAAAGCGGGGGAUCGCAAGACCUCGCGCGAUUAGAGCGGCCGAUGCCUGAUUAGCUUGUUGGUGGGGUAAAAGCCCACCAAGGCGACGAUCAGUAGCUGGUCUGAGAGGACGAUCAGCCACACUGGGACUGAGACACGGCCCAGACUCCUACGGGAGGCAGCAGUGGGGAAUUUUGGACAAUGGGGGCAACCCUGAUCCAGCAAUGCCGCGUGAGUGAAGAAGGCCUUCGGGUUGUAAAGCUCUUUUGUCAGGGAAGAAACACCGGCUCUAACACAGUCCGGGAAUGACGGUACCUGAAGAAUAAGCACCGGCCAACUACGUGCCAGCAGCCGCGGUAA
rnacentral:rRNA from 1 species